AUGAAGCCGACCUGUGCCUCGGUCAUUGGUCAAUACUUUAGUAUUCCUGACUUCACAAACAGAAUGAGGAGUCCAUCAGCACCUCUCCAGCUCUCAACAGGAUCAGGCGUUCAACCUUGGAUCAAAGACACGAUCUACAGGCUGGAAUGGAUGCUUUGGUGCAGCAGGCAGAUAAACCAGAUGCGUCAAGACAGGACAGAGACCUUUGAGAGAAAGGAGAGGUUUUAA
rnacentral:lncRNA from 12 species